rnacentral:rRNA from 1 species
UACGGAGACUGCGAGCGUUACUCGGAUUCACUGGGCGUAAAGGGUGCGCAGGCGGUUAAUUGUGUCAGGUGUGAAAUCCCGGAGCUCAACUCCGGAACUGCGCCUGAAACUGAUUGACUAGAGGCUCGGAAAGGUAAGCGGAAUUCCAGGUGUAGCGGUGAAAUGCGUAGAUAUCUGGAGGAACACCAAAGGCGAAGGCAGCUUACUAGACGAGAUCUGACGCUCAGGCACGAAAGCGUGGGGAGCAAAAAGGAUUAGAUACCCUUGUAGUCCACGCCGUAAACUUUGUACACUAGGUCUUGGGGGAUUCGACCCCCUCAGGGCUCAAGCUAACGUGAUAAGUGUACCGCCUGAGGACUACGACCGCAAGGUUAAA